rnacentral:lncRNA from 1 species
GCACCUCUGGUGGUCCCCUUGCUUGCACCCCUGCCCCAGCCUGCGCCCUUGUUCCCCUUCUGCCGUUUAUUUCCAACCUUGCGCCCCGACCUCGCACCCAGGUCGUCGUCAUCACCGCCACCCCGCCUGCGCUUGCCAGCUGCGCCCUUAGCUGCUCUUGGCACCUCGCCGACCCACUCCUUGAAUGCAUGGUAGUUGGUGGUAUCCUUGUCCUGUGGUGGGGGGGGCAGCAACACCCAGUGCUUACAUUCAAGGUAAAAUAUCAGGGUAAGACCCAACAAGCUGCCCUGACAUUGAAAGUUGACAUAACCCAUCAGCACCCCUCGACCUUGUUAAACAUGCUCCCCAGGUUCCAAAAGGGUUACAAGGCAGCCCUGGUUGCAAGCAGUCUGGAAACGAGCAAACACUCCUCACCUGAAUUGCAUCGUUCUCUCCAGACACCAAUGCCUCCUCGGCUCCACCGCCUGUGUUGCUGUCCACGCGCCCUGUCCCGCGCCCAGUCCUCCCGCCACUGCUGCGUCCACACCCUCGACCACCACGCGUGCCAGCAGCGGUUCCGGAUCGCCAAGGGGUCUCACCACCAGCAAGUGCUCGUCAAGGAGUCUCACCACCACUUGCAGAGUUCGUGCCUACUCCUACGGAUGAAACCCCCGAUGCAUGACAUGUACCGGCACCUAUUGGGAUUGGUCUGUCCCAUCCUGCCUGGGGCCGACCUGGUGUGUGCACCCCCAAGUGCUCAUCACUGCUGCCAUGUUACUGCUCACUUCCACCACUGUCACUGCUGCCACUGCCACUGCUGCUGCUGCUAGCUUCGCUAUAUUUGCCCGGGUCCUCCAAGCUGGACUCCUCCCCAGCGCCAGCGGCUAGGACCUCUUCCUCACCAGCAUCCGACCCACCCUCCGAGCUACCCUCCUCUGUCUGCCCCCUCCACCCUCCCUUGCCUGCGCCGCCCUUCCCCGCACCUCUGGUGGUCCCCUUGCUUGCACCCCUGCCCCGGCCUGCGCCCUUGUUCCCCUUCUGCCGUUUAUUUCCAACCUUGCGCCCCCACCUCGUACCCAGGUCGUCAUCAUCACCGCCACCCCGCCUGCGCUUGCCAGCUGCGCCCUUAGCCACUCUUGGCACCUCGCUGACCCACUCCUUGGACGCAUCGUAGUUGGUGGUAUCCUCGUCCUGUGGUGGGGGGGCAGCAACACCCAGUGCUUACGUUCAAGGUAAAAUAUCAGGG